rnacentral:rRNA from 1 species
UGGGGAAUAUUGCACAAUGGGCGCAAGCCUGAUGCAGCCAUGCCGCGUGUGUGAAGAAGGCCUUCGGGUUGUAAAGCACUUUCAGCGAGGAGGAAGGUGGUGAGCUUAAUACGCUCAUCAAUUGACGUUACUCGCAGAAGAAGCACCGGCUAACUCCGUGCCAGCAGCCGCGGUAAUACGGAGGGUGCAAGCGUUAAUCGGAAUUACUGGGCGUAAAGCGCACGCAGGCGGUUUGUUAAGUCAGAUGUGAAAUCCCCGGGCUCAACCUGGGAACUGCAUUUGAAACUGGCAAGCUAGAGUCUCGUAGAGGGGGGUAGAAUUCCAGGUGUAGCGGUGAAAUGCGUAGAGAUCUGGAGGAAUACCGGUGGCGAAGGCGGCCCCCCUGGACGAAGACUGACGCUCAGGUGCGAAAGCGUGGGGCAGCAAACAGGAUUAGAUACCCCUGGUAGUCCACGCUGUAAAACGAUGUCGAUUUUGGAGGUUGUGCCCCUUGAGGCGUGGCUUCCGGAGCUAACGCGUUAAAUCGACCGCCUGGGGAGUACGGCCNCAAGGUUAAAACUUAAAUGAAUUGCGGGUCUAGCUGUUCC